UCCAGGCCCUACGGGGUGCAGCAGGCGCGAAACCCCUACAAUGUACGACAGUGUGAUAGGGGAAUCCUAAGUGCUUAUGCUCAGCAUAGGCUUUUGCAUAGAGUAAAUAUCUAUGCGAAUAAAGGGUGGGAAAGACCGGUGCCAGCAGCCGCGGUAACACCGGCGCCCUGAGUGGCAAUCAGAAUUAUUGGGCCUAAAGCGUUCGUAGCCGGAUUUGUAAGUUUCUUGUGAAACUAUUCAGCUUAACUGAAUAAAUGGCAGGAAAUACUGCAAGUCUAGGGACCGGGAGGAGUUAGAAGUAUUCUAUGGGGAGCGGUAAAAUGUGAUAAUCCAUGGAAGACUACCUGUGGUGAAGACGUCUAACUAGAACGGAUCCGACGGUGAGGAACGAAGGCUAGGGGAACAAACCGGAUUAGAUACCCGAGUAGUCCUAGCAGUAAACGCUGUAUGCAAGAUGUUGCGCAUCCUCGUGGUUGCGCAGUAUCGAAGGGAAGCCGUUAAGCAUACCGCCUGGGAAGUACGGUCGCAAGACUGAAACUUAAAGGAAUUGGCGGGGGAGCACCACAAGGGGUGCGGCGUGCGGUUUAAUCUAACUUAACGCAGAAAAUCUCACCAGGGGCGACAGCACGAUGAAAGUCAGUCUAAAGGGCUUACUGGAGAAGCUGAGAGGUAGUGCAUGGCCGUCGUCAGCUCGUGCCGUAAGGUGUCCUGUUAAGUCAGGCAACGAGCGAGACCUAUAUCCACAAUUGCCAGCGGACUCUUCGGAGUGACCGGGAACAUUGUGGGGACUGCCCGUGAAAACGGGAGGAAGGUGUAGGCUACGGUAGGUCUGUAUGCUCCGAAUCUCCUGGGCUACACGCGCGCAACAAUGGUAUGGACAAUGGGAUACUACUCCGAAAGGGGACGUUAAUCCUCUAAACCAUGCCUUAGUUCAGAUUGUGGGUUGUAACUCACCCACAUGACGCUGGAAUCCCUAGUAAUCAGAAUUCAUCAUAUUCUGGUGAAUAUGUCCCUGCUCCUUGUACACACCGCCCGUC
rnacentral:rRNA from 1 species